GACGAACGCUGGCGGCGUGCUUAACACAUGCAAGUCGAACGGAAAGGCCCUGCUUUUGUGGGGUGCUCGAGUGGCGAACGGGUGAGUAACACGUGAGUAACCUGCCCUUGACUUUGGGAUAACUUCAGGAAACUGGGGCUCAUACCGGAUAGGAGCUCCUGCUGCAUGGUGGGGGUUGGAAAGUUUCGGCGGUUGGGGAUGGACUCGCGGCUUAUCAGCUUGUUGGUGGGGUAGUGGCUUACCAAGGCUUUGACGGGUAGCCGGCCUGAGAGGGUGACCGGCCACAGUGGGACUGAGAUACGGCCCAGACUCCUACGGGAGGCAGCAGUGGGGAAUAUUGCACAAUGGGCGGAAGCCUGAUGCAGCAACGCCGCGUGCGGGAUGACGGCCUUCGGGUUGUAAACCGCUUUCGCCUGUGACGAAGCGUGAGUGACGGUAAUGGGUAAAGAAGCACCGGCUAACUACGUG
rnacentral:rRNA from 1 species